rnacentral:lncRNA from 1 species
UUGUUGGAUGAGGAAUUUGAAGCAGUUGUUGGAGAUUUCGGUUUAGCAAAGCUUAUGGCUUACAAAGAUACCCAUGUCACUACUGCUGUUCGAGGUACACUUGGGCAUAUACCCCCUGAGUACCUGUCAACCGGAAAGUCUUCAGAAAAGACUGAUGUUUUUGGAUAUGGCACGAUGCUUCUAGAACUGACAACUGGAAAGAGGGCUUUUGAUCUAGCACGUCUUGCCGGUGAUGAUGAUGUGAUGUUGCAUGACUGGGUAGGUUUUCAAUUACCUUUACACAUAUCGUUAGUUUUCGGUUAAAAUGUGCCUCCAACACCGUAGCAUGAAUUAAUCUCUUCAUAAUGUUCUAUACUCAAGCAUCAUUAUUUAGUGUAUCAUUAUCCUUUGCUGAAUGAUAAGUAAAGGUUAAUAAAUAUUGUGUAUGAUGCAUCACCAAUUGCACUUGUGCAUGUUAGAAUUAGCCAUAAUGUAAUAUCAACACCAAUGACUAAUCAUUGCUGUCAACCGUGUGACGUUAUUUUGAAUCCAGGUUAAAGGACAUCUCAUAGACAAAAAGUUGGAAACACUGGUAGAUGCGGAGUUAAAGGGAAAUUACGAUGAUGAAGAGAUAGAAAAGCUAAUUCAAGUUGCUUUAAUAUGCACACAAGGGUCCCCUAUGGAAAGGCCUAAGAUGUCUGAGGUGGUUAGAAUGCUAGAAGGCGAUGGUUUGGCAGAAAAAUGGGAGCAAUGGCAAAAAGAAGAGACGUACCGACAAGAUUUUAACAACAACCACAUGCAUCACCCUAAUGCAAAUUGGAUAGUAGUAGAUUCAACUUCACAUAUUCAGCCAGAUGAACUCUCAGGUCCUAGAUGAUCCUUUUAACAUUCUAUCAUAUGGACAAGUGAAUAUGUAAUCCUUCCUCUGCCUGAACGAGAUAAACUACAUGAUUUGUGUAUAACUUGCAUAUAACUUUCUAGGUGGCAUUUAGGGUGGGUGAGGGAAAGAGUUUCCUAUGAUGGAAAAGGCUGGUUUUUGAGGACAGCUGGAGGUUGUCACCUGUUGAGUCCAAACAAAAAAGAAAAACUUUAGCUUUUAUAUUUUAAUAUUGUCUAUCAUUUUACUGAUUCACCACCCCUUUUAUCAUGACAGCAUAAACUACUUUUACUAACAAUUUAUUUUUAAUAUACACCAUCUUAUUUUGUAUCAGAAUUCUUUUCUAACUCAAACAUAAAACUGUAAGUUUGGUGAAGUUCUUCAUAGGAAAACCCAGCAAAGCCAAAAAACCAAAUACUCUCCUACUAUUGUUUAAGGAAAGAUUCUUUGAAAACAUCAAUUUUUCUUUCACUUGCUGAGAGAAUUUUGACAAUGGCUGUUGGAGAAUUUCCUUCAAAUUUGUUCAACCACACCCAUCAGAUCUAGAACAGCUAUUGUUUUUAGUCAAAGAAAUGUAAAGUUUUUCACAAUAUGUACGAUUUACCCACUUAAUAUGUACAGUUAAAAAAGGUUAUGGUUCUAUUGAUGUGGUGAUUUUCUACAUCUGUACAUUUUCUUGUUGUUGUUUUUUAGAUCUGAACUUUUAGUAAGAAAAAUUGGUGGAGAUGAUGAAGAUUCCAUUGUAGAACACAUGAAGAUGAAUAAUUAAUUUUUAAUUAAAAUUAUGUUAAAUUAAGUUGACAUAUCUCAAUAAUCUGAGUUUUUUUUUUUUUUUGGGACAAAUCUUAGAAAGAAGAAGAAAAAUUACAAGGGUGAUGGUGAGCGGUCAAAACACAGUAAAGGAAGAAGAGGAAGCAUGUUUUUUGUGUGAAUACAAUAUUCAUUUGAUAUUUAAAUAAGUAAAAAGGGUAAUUUAAUUAGUUAAGGCAAUUAAAUUUUCUCACCAAAAAAGUAAUUGAAUUUAAUUAGUCAGAGAAUGAUUUCCUUUUUCAAAAGAAGAACACCGUACCAAAAAAGUGAACAACAAGUUGCCAGUGUUUAAUCUUACCCGUUGAAUAUUUUUAUUAUUAUAUCAAUGGUUCAAAUUUAACUUUCCUAUAAUGGGAAAAUACUCUCAUUUCCUAGGCUAAAUGCCACCAUCUCUUCUACUUGAUCUUUUCUUUUGAUCUUCUUGAAAUUAUCUUGUAUGUUCAGGUUACAUGUCCAUUGAUCAGGUUAUGAUUUUUUAAGAAAGCAGUUUGUAAUUUUAUUGGGUUGUCAAGUUGCAGGAUAAAGUGUAGCACACAAGCAACCAACACUUUUGUCCUUGUAUGUAUGAGAGACUAGUAUAGAGCUUCUAUGAAAAUAUAUGUAAUUUUGUUUUUUUAGAUUUGAAAAUAAAGUAAAUAGUACAGUACUUUAGGGGGUUGCUAUGUUUUGUCUUCUAAUAAUGGUGGGCAUUGCACUUUUUAAUUAUUUUUGUUUUGAAAAGUUUAUGUGAAUUGAGUUCUUAGACUCACCUGAGCCGAGACAGAUCUUAGAACUUAAAAAACACUAAUAGAUAUAUUUACAUAUUAUCUAUUAUGUUAACAUCGGGGGUUGAACUCACGUCUUUCCGUGGUAUAAGACUUUAUUUUAUAAUAAAUAUGAGCCGAUUUUUCAAGAAUUGGUCACUUGGAUUUUAGAAGCUUGAAUCAACAAAGGGGUACAUUUUGAUGGAUGUGGACCAUUUAAUUUCCUAUUAUCACUACUUUAUAAUAAAGUAUUGCUUUAUCUUUCCUAAAAAAAAAAAAUAAAGUAUUGCUUUAUCUAUCUUUUUUAACGUGUGAACGUUUUUUAAAGUUGCAAGCCAGACCGUUGGAUUAAGUGAAGUCAUAGGAUCUUCUGGUGAGGUUGUCACAUUGGAAGAGGAAAGUUUGAGAAAGAAAAAGUUGACUUGCGUAGUACAUCUUUGACUCUCAAUUUCAUUUCACAUUAUUUCUAACUAACCACACUUCAUUAUCAAUAUUAUAUUACUAUCUUGUUAACAUGUCCUACAUGUUCAACAAUGAUUUAAUAUUUCUUAAUUAACAUGUGUCCUAAAUUAAAUAUUAUUCAUGCAAAGAAAACAAACAAAAGCCAUACAUACUUAAAUAAUGAACUUUACCAACCUAUUUUUUGUUUGGUCAAAAUGUUGUGGAGUUUGAUGAUGGGUUUCUUGUAGAUCAAGAGAGAGAGGGUUUGUGUUUUGUUUUAUGAAUAUAAACAUGGAGCAAGUAGCUUCAUCUUCUACAGUUUCCUUUCUUUUUUGGGCUAUUUUGGUGCUUCAUUUGUUGCUUAAAGCUUCUUCCAAUGAUGAAAGUAAGUGGUUAUUUUAAUUGUUUCAUAAAUGUUUCUAUCUGUUAAAUUGGUGAAAAUUCACCUAUUUUGAUAUGCUAGGUUGUCCUUUAGCUUUUUAGUGUUGCUCUGAUCAUAUGUUAUGUUUGUUUGGUUCCACAAUGGGAACUUCAGAACAUGAGUUUGCAACGGUCAAACGUGGUUUUGAGCUUAAGAAACUAUUUGCAGCUUUCACAUUUUAUCACUUUGCAACUUUUGGUAAUUAUACACACAAAAUCAAUUUUGAAUGAUCUAAACUAUCCAAACAAAAUGAAUUCGCAAAAAUCACUUUUGCGCAUCCAAACACAAACCACUUUUCAUUUAACUCACUUUUAACUAAAAUCAAGGAUGUUUGACAGCCUAUACUGUAUAGAAGACUUCAUAAUAGAAGAAUUCACCUCCUCCCACUCAUGUUAAUAUUAACGAUGUUUGCAACUAAAGAUUGUUUCUUUUUAGAACAGGUGAUGCCCUUUUUGCAUUCAGGAACAACUUAAAUGAUCCUAACAAUGCUCUUCAAAGUUGGGAUGCUACCCUUGUCAAUCCCUGCACGUGGUUUCAUAUUACAUGCAGUGGUGGUAGAGUAAUCCGGGUGUAAGUCGUUAUGUCAUUUUUACCUGUGAUUUUAUGAAUCUUUGUCAAUGUAAUGAACUGUUUAUUAUUAUUAUAUUUUUUUAUAUUUUUUUUUUGUAUUUGGACAGUGAUCUUGCAAAUGAAAACCUUUCUGGUAAUCUGGUUUCAAAUCUUGGUGUUCUCUCAAAUUUGGAGUACUUGUAAGUUGUGAAUCAGAUAUGAUAUUGUUGAGUGAAUUUGACUGUUUUUUUAGCAGAUUAAGCUCAACCUUGCACAAAUCUGAAUUUUCUUCCCUUUUCAAUGGAAGGGAACUUUAUAAUAAUAAGAUAACAGGAACUAUCCCGGAAGAGCUAGGAAAUUUGACAAACUUGGAGAGCUUGGAUCUUUACUUGAACAAUAUAAGUGGUACCAUACCGAAUACAUUGGGCAACCUUCAAAAACUCCGCUUCCUGUAUGACAUACUUUCGUUAUUCUCAUAUCUUUGAUCUGCAAAAUUUAUUUAUGUUGAUUUCAAUUUUUUUCUACCUUUACCCUGUUCAAUAUACAUUUUUGUGUGUUUUCCGAUGCAAAAUGUAGUAGAUUUUGGAGCCUCUUCAACAUGACCAUUACACUUAUAGCAAAGCUGCAAUAUACAAAAGUGCAUGCUUAAAAAAGUAGUCCUAUUUUCAUUAUCGCUGCUGCUCGUUAUUAUUAUGUGAUGCAAUAGUGUGAUUAGAUGCCAAUUGAAUGAAAUAUUUAAGGUAUUUCUAAUAUUUAGUAAAUACAUAAAGCUACUGACCAAGAUGGCGGGAUUGGGUCUUAUGUCAAGAUGAAAUUUUAUUUAGGGUCAACUAAUAUUGCAGUUUUCCUCCCUUGAAUAUGAUGAAAGAAAUCUUAACAGUGUCUGUUACAUGUUUUUUGAUUAAUUCAAUCUCUCUCUCUCUCUCUCUCUCUCUCAGGGAUUUAACUAAUUCAACGUAAUAAUUGUUUAUUUAUACACAUACUAAUGCACUGAGGGGGUGGUGAAGGCUGCUUGAAGCUUCUUCAAGUUUCUGAUUUGAUUGGUUUAUAGUAAAGCUUGUUUUAGCAUGGCUAUAUCUGUUUUUUUUAAACAAGUAACCUCGAUUAGAUGUGAUAAUCCAACACUCUACCACCACACAUUUCAAAGAAUUAAAUCUAUGAGCCUGAUGGUAUUUCUAAAGAUCUGUUUAUAAUAUCUGAAAUAUCUUAUGAUAUAUUGCGCCCAAUUGUUUGCAUGUUCUUUCCAUGCAUAUUUUCUUCUUUUCCUUUUUUUUUUUUUUUGCAUUAAAGGGGGAUUUUCUCUACCUAAUGUGUAAAAAUUUCUAAUAUGAUUAUCUUAUUCAUUCAUUUACUUGGAACUAAAAUUAAAGGGGAGUUUUUAUUCAUUUGAUAACUAGUUACCUAUGAUGUUUUAUUACUCUAUUUUAUUUAUGUUGCUCUCCAAAAUAGGCGUCUCAAUAAUAACAGCUUGACUGGAGUCAUUCCCAUUUCUUUGACAAAUGUUACUACGCUGCAAGUUCUGUGAGUGUUACUCCUUUAUUUAGAUUUCUUAUGAGUUAUAGUAGAAUCAUAUAUUUCCAUGUAUAAACUGACACAACGGCCAUCUUGGAAUACAGUGAUGUCUCUAACAAUAAUCUAGAAGGGGAUUUCCCAGUGAAUGGUUCAUUUUCAUUAUUUACCCCUAUCAGGUCUGUGCAAAUAAUUAUGUUCAAAUCUAUGUCUUAUUGUUGACAGAUGACCUGAAACUUUGCUAAUGCUCUGUGUUCCACUUUACAGUUAUCAUAAUAAUCCUCGCAUCAAACAACCAAAAAACAUUCCAGUGCCUCUUUCUCCACCAUCACCAGCUUCUUCAGGUUCAUUGACGUCUGUUUUUUUGUUGACAGUCAUUUUUAAAUUGUUAAAGAAUUACUUGCACUGAAAGCUUUGAUUCAGAAUAUUAACUCUAGCUUGCUCAUAACUCUCUUGAAUUGUAACCGAACUCAGCUUUUUUUAGAAUGUUUAAUUUUAAGAUGGGAUAAAAAAACCAAACUAGGUAUUUAAAAUUAAGCAAGGGGUUAUUGUGAAAAAACCACUUGACCUAAAAGCUUGAGUUGUUAAGCAAGGGCUAAGGGUGAUUUUUCUAGAGGUCAUUAAAGUUAAGGCCAUGUCAAACCAGUAUUUUAUAUUUCUUGUACUUUGCCAUUGUUUUGAAACUGUACAUUAAAUCUUAAGCCCCUUUUCCCCCAGAGAACAAAGAGAAAAGAUUUGAUAAAUGAUAGACAUUGACUAUAUUGUUUUUUCCAAAUGUUAAUUCCGUAAUCAUGGAAAAGAAUGGACUGAUUUUUGAGAAGUGAUCUUUGAACGCAGACAACUUUAGUUCCUCUAGCUUUGCUGCAUUUCCUUCAUGCUUACAUAUUCUCGAUGUUGCUGUGCCUCAUGGUUAAAUUUAGAGGAAAACAUAAUUGUAUUGAACUUUGAGAUUUUUGUUUUCAAUCAAUCACAGUCUAUUUUUUAAUAGAGUUAUUGUUUCUAAUUAAACUGUUAAUCCUUUUUACAGGUAGCUCGAAUACUGGAGCUAUUGCUGGAGGAGUUGCUGCUGCUGCUGCUCUGUUGUUUGCAGCCCCUGCAAUUGCACUUGCUUACUGGAAAAAAAGAAAACCGCAGGAUCAUUUCUUUGACGUUCCUGGUCAGUUAAAUAACAGAAAAGAUUGUAUACAUGCUGAUAGACGCUGCAUUUUAAAGUUUUUACUUAUGAACCAACAUUUUGUCUGUCUUUUACCGGCAGCUGAGGAGGAUCCUGAAGUUCACCUUGGUCAGCUUAAAAGGUUUUCGCUACAUGAGCUGCUAGUAGCAACAGAUCACUUCAGCAAUGAAAACAUUAUAGGUAAAGGAGGAUUCGCAAAGGUGUAUAAAGGACGCUUAGCUGAUGGAACUCUUGUAGCAGUAAAAAGACUUAAAGAGGAACGUUCAAAGGGCGGGGAGCUGCAAUUUCAGACAGAAGUAGAAAUGAUCGGCAUGGCUGUGCAUCGUAAUUUGCUUCGUCUUCGUGGUUUUUGCGUAACAUCUACUGAACGUUUGCUUGUGUAUCCUUUAAUGGCUAAUGGAAGUGUAGCAUCGUGUUUACGAGGUAUCUCUAUUAGUUCAGCAUUUGAGUUGUUUUUAUUUAUUCAUAAUUUUCUUUCCUUCCUUGUGGAUAAAUAUUCUCUCAUAUACCCUUUUCUGUUAGACAUGCUAUAAGUGUUGGUGUUCCAUGUCUAAUCUAUUUCUGGUUAAUUUUGGUUCAUCAUUGAAAACAUAACAAUUAGUAUUUCCUAACUAUUAGCUGGCAGUUACGCAAAUACAGACAUGAAAAUUAUUAAGUAACCUCAAAUUUUCAAAUGCAAAUGAAUGCCUGCUCUACUGUUAAAUUCCAAAAUUUGCAGUUUCAUAUUAUAACUGCAUCUAUGUAUAUUGAUUGUGUUUUUGUAGAACGUAAUGACUCUCAACCGCCGCUUGACUGGCCAAUGCGGAAGAAUAUUGCGCUAGGAGCUGCCAGGGGGCUUGCUUACUUGCAUGAUCAUUGUGACCCUAAGAUUAUUCAUCGUGAUGUGAAAGCUGCAAAUAUAUUGUUGGAUGAUGAAUUUGUAGCAGUUGUUGGAGAUUUCGGUUUAGCAAGGCUUAUGGCUUACAAAGAUACCCAUGUCACUACUGCUGUUCAAGGUACACUUGGGCAUAUACCACCUGAGUACCUGUCAACCGGAAAGUCUUCAGAAAAGACUGAUGUUUUUGGAUAUGGUACGAUGCUUCUUGAACUGACAACUGGACAGAGGGCUUUUGACCUAGCACGUCUUGCCGGUGAUGAUGAUGUGAUGUUGCUUGAUUGGGUAGGUUUUCAAUCACCUUUUAUACAUGUCAUUAGUUUUUGGUUAAAUUCUGCCUCCAACACAGUAGCAUGAAUUGAUCUCUUCAUACUGUUCUAUACACUCAACAUUUAUUAUGUAGUUUAUCAUUAUUCCUUGAUGAAUCGUAGAAAAAAGUUAAUAAAUAUUGUGCAUGAUGCAACACCCAUUGCGCUUGUGCAUGUUAGAAUUAGCCAUAAUAUAACAUCAACAC